rnacentral:lncRNA from 1 species
GCGCCCAAGUUUUCCUGAAGCUUAGCAGAAUGUGCAGCUCUAUUGCAUCCUGCCGCGAGUCUGAACGAGUCUUUUAGAAACUGACCGUCGAAAAUAUGAAGUUGGACUAAACUGCUAGCACUUUAUCUGGUUGAAAUCAGAACUUUUACCUUUACAAAUCAUGUGAAUCUAACUUUUAACAAUUAGAAAAAAGCUCUGUUUUGCUUCAAAAACUUACCAACUACUGAAAUUUUUAAAAUUUUGCACAUACUGCAGCACAUACAGGAUCAUGGGCUGAAGCUUACCCUGAGAUUAUCACUUGUGCAAAUAUGUUCUGGUGGCCUGCUGCAAGUAGUCCAGCUCUUGCAGCUGAACCAGGUACUGGUCAACUGAACCCCUUGAGUCCCAAGACCUAUGAAGUAGCCAAGAAUGUCAUCCGCGAUACUAUCGCCAUGUUUCCAGAUUUGCUCUUUCAUGGGGGAGCAGAUGAGAUCAAUUCAGCCUGUUGGAAUCCAGCUGAACCCCCUGAGUCCCAAGACCUAUGAAGUAGCCAAGAAUGUCAUCCACGAUACUAUCGCCAUGUUUCCAGAUUUGCUCUUUCACGGGGGAGCAGAUGAGAUCAAUUCAGCAUGUUGGAAUACUGAUCCAUCAAUCCAAAAGUUUGUCGCUAGCAAUGG